CAAACCAAAGCUGGCGACCGGCGCACGGGUGAGUAACACGUAUCCAACCUGCCUCAUACUCGGGGAUAGCCUUUCGAAAGAAAGAUUAAUAUCCGAUAGCAUAUAUUUCCCGCAUGGGUUUUAUAUUAAAGAAAUUCGGUAUGAGAUGGGGAUGCGUUCCAUUAGUUUGUUGGGGGGGUAACGGCCCACCAAGACUACGAUGGAUAGGGGUUCUGAGGGGAAGGUCCCCCACAUUGGAACUGAGACACGGUCCAA
rnacentral:rRNA from 1 species